GCGCGCGCGCUUCGCCCGUUCUUAAAUACAGUCAAAUAUGGAAAUGGCCAGUCAUUCCGCGACAGGUGCGCGGCCGAGGCGUUCGUGCACGUGUGCUGUUAGUGAGUGCGCCGGCGCAGCCCCCGCCGCAGCCGACGGCAGCUAGCUGAUUAUUGGGAAUUUUCACUGUAUGGACAAUGGAUGGAGUUAUUGGAUUUGGAACCGAUGAACAGCUUGGCCGCGUGAAAGACACGUAUGUAUUUCUAAAUAAUAUUAUGUAGAGUCGACUGCAUAUCAAACUACA